rnacentral:rRNA from 4 species
AGCAGGCGCGCAAAUUACCCACUCCCGGCACGGGGAGGUAGUGACGAAAAAUAACGAUACGGGACUCAUCCGAGGCCCCGUAAUCGGAAUGAGUACACUUUAAAUCCUUUAACGAGGAUCAAUUGGAGGGCAAGUCUGGUGCCAGCAGCCGCGGUAAUUCCAGCUCCAAUAGCGUAUAUUAAAGUUGUUGCGGUUAAAAAGCUCGUAGUCGAAUUUGUGUCCCGCGCCGCCGGUUCAUCGCUCGCGGUGUCCAACUGGCGUGUCCGCGGGACGUCCUGCCGGUGGGCUUAGCCCGCGAGGGCGGCCCAACUGCAAAUCCCGCCGCGGUGCUCUUCACUGAGUGUCGAGGUGGGCCGGCACGUUUACUUUGAACAAAUUAGAGUGCUUAAAGCAGGCCAAAAUUUCGCCUGAAUACUUAGUGCAUGGAAUAAUGGAAUAGGACCUCGGUUCUAUUUUGUUGGUUUUCGGAACCCCGAGGUAAUGAUUAAUAGGAACGGAUGGGGGCAUUCGUAU